rnacentral:rRNA from 1 species
AACGAACGCUGGCGGCAGGCUUAACACAUGCAAGUCGAGCGCCCCGCAAGGGGAGCGGCAGACGGGUGAGUAGCGCGUGGGAAUCUACCGUGCCCUACGGAAUAGCUCCGGGAAACUGGAAUUAAUACCGUAUACGCCCUUUGGGGGAAAGAUUUAUCGGGGUAUGAUGAGCCCGCGUUGGAUUAGCUAGUUGGUGGGGUAAAGGCCUACCAAGGCGACGAUCCAUAGCUGGUCUGAGAGGAUGAUCAGCCACAUUGGGACUGAGACACGGCCCAAACUCCUACGGGAGGCAGCAGUGGGGAAUAUUGGACAAUGGGCGCAAGCCUGAUCCAGCCAUGCCGCGUGAGUGAUGAAGGCCCUAGGGUUGUAAAGCUCUUUCACCGGUGAAGAUAAUGACGGUAACCGGAGAAGAAGCCCCGGCUAACUUCGUGCCAGCCGCCGCAGUAACAC